rnacentral:rRNA from 1 species
UACGGGGGGGGCAAGCGUUGUUCGGAAUUACUGGGCGUAAAGGGCUCGUAGGCGGCCAACUAAGUCGGACGUGAAAUCCCCAGGCUCAACUUGGGAACUGCGUCCGAUACUGGAUGGCUUGAAUCCGGGAGAGGGAUGCAGAAUUCCAGGUGUAGCGGUGAAAUGCGUAGAUAUCUGGAGGAAUACCGGUGGCGAAGGCGGCAUCCUGGACCGGCAUUGACGCUGAGGAGCGAAAGCCAGGGGAGCAAACGGG